GUGGGGAAUAUUGGACAAUGGGGGGAACCCUGAUCCAGCCAUGCCGCGUGUGUGAAGAAGGCCUUUUGGUUGUAAAGCACUUUAAGCGAGGAGGAGGCUACCGAGAUUAAUACUCUUGGAUAGUGGACGUUACUCGCAGAAUAAGCACCGGCUAACUCUGUGCCAGCAGCCGCGGUAAUACAGAGGGUGCAAGCGUUAAUCGGAUUUACUGGGCGUAAAGCGCGCGUAGGUGGCCAAUUAAGUCAAAUGUGAAAUCCCCGAGCUUAACUUGGGAAUUGCAGUCGAUACUGGUUGGCUAGAGUAUGGGAGAGGAUGGUAGAAUUCCAGGUGUAGCGGUGAAAUGCGUAGAGAUCUGGAGGAAUACCGAUGGCGAAGGCAGCCAUCUGGCCUAAUACUGACACUGAGGUGCGAAAGCAUGGGGAGCAAACAGGAUUAGAAACCCCUGUAGUCC
rnacentral:rRNA from 1 species